UACAGAGGUCCCAAGCGUUGUUCGGAUUCACUGGGCGUAAAGGGUGCGUAGGCGGCCGGAUAAGUCUGAUGUGAAAUCCCGCAGCUCAACUGCGGAACUGCAUCGGAUACUAUUUGGCUCGAGGAUUGGAAGGGAGACUGGAAUUCUUGGUGUAGCAGUGAAAUGCGUAGAUAUCAAGAGGAACACCAGUGGCGAAAGCGAGUCUCUGGACAAUUCCUGACGCUGAGGCACGAAAGCCAGGGGAGCAAACGGG
rnacentral:rRNA from 1 species